UGCCCAGGUCCCCAAAGGAAGUGAUGGA
rnacentral:piRNA from 1 species